rnacentral:rRNA from 1 species
CGGAGGAUCCAAGCGUUAUCCGGAAUCAUUGGGUUUAAAGGGUCCGUAGGCGGUUUAGUAAGUCAGUGGUGAAAGCCCAUCGCUCAACGGUGGAACGGCCAUUGAUACUGCUAGACUUGAAUUAUUAGGAAGUAACUAGAAUAUGUAGUGUAGCGGUGAAAUGCUUAGAGAUUACAUGGAAUACCAAUUGCGAAGGCAGGUUACUACUAAUGGAUUGACGCUGAUGGACGAAAGCGUGGGUAGCGAACAGGAUUAGAUACCCUGGUAGUCCACGCCGUAAACGAUGGAUACUAGCUGUUGGGAGCGAUCUCAGUGGCUAAGCGAAAAGUGAUAAGUAUCCCACCUGGGGAUACGUUCGCAAGAAUG